GUAAUUUUUCAUAAUAACCGGUAAUACACAUAACAUAUUUUUUAUACAUUUUUGUUAGAAUCCAUUAUUUAUAAUGUUUAACUAUGUUAAGUUUUAAAUUAUUUUUCAUCAAAGUGUUAAGACCAAGUAAUUUGACUAAGUCAAACACAAAAGUGUUUCCUUAAAGAAAUCUUUCUUUAAUUAAUUACAUAAUAACAAUUGUUUCCACUGAUCCUUUAACAGUACAUGUCCUUUUAAUUUAUUCGAUGAAUACCUUAAUGGUUAUUUGAUUCUUAUCCAUAAUUUUCAGGUGUUCCACUGCAUCGCUUUCCUGACCCGGAAAAAAAUGCAGAAAAGUUUAACACCUGGAUUGCAAAUAUUGGUGGCGAUCUAGCUACAUUGGAUGCAACAACAAUUUAUAAUAAUAGACGUGUAUGUCGUAAUCAUUUCGAGGACGUUUAUAAAUAUCCUAAGAACCGACUCAGUCAAUUGGCAAUGCCAGUACUGCAUUUACCAGGUGUGCAAGCACAAAGGCUUAAAGAAAUUGAUCAUAUUUCUGGAAAAUUUGAUUUGCCAAAUUUUGGUGAUUCUCCAAUGAAUACAGAGCUGUCUGUUAACCCUGUAAUAGAAGAGGACCAACCACAAUCUCUUGUCGGAGUUAAUGUCACUGGAGAAGCUCCUCUCAAACAGACUCUUGGUGACACAAGACAAUGUAGAGCAGUCCAGAGAAGCUCAAAAUGUUAACAAAACUAACAAGAAGGCAAAAAAUAAAACCAAAAAAUCCAAAGGGCCUCGCCUAUCAUUCCUGCAAAUGAAGCAAUAUAAGCGUGCUUUGAAGCAGUUACAGAGAUGUGAAGAUGAGAAAAAGAAGUUGAAAUGCAAAUACGUAGCUGCCAAAAAACUCAUGAAAACGACAGCAUUUCAAAUAAUGUGCAAGAAUUUGUCACCGUCAGCAAAACUAUUUUGCCAAAUGCAAGUUACCCAAAGCGGGAAAAAAAAGCAAGGAAGGCGUUUUACAAUUGACGAAAAAAUUUUGGCAUUAUCUCUUUAUAAACCCUCGCCAAAGGCAUAUCGACUAUUAGGCACGAAGUGUAUUAUGCCGAGCAGAAAAACGCUGCAAAAUUUACUGCGCAAAAUUAAUUUAAGACCUGGAAUUAAUGAAAUUAUUUUUGAAAAUUUAAAAAACAGGGUUUCUAAGAUGCCUGAAAACCAUAAAUAUUGCUCUCUGUUGUUUGACGAAAUGGCGAUUGGACCAGGUGUUUCCUUUAACAAAACAGAAGACAAAUUAUCUGGAUUUGUUGACAAUGGCACAAGCACUGAAAAAGAUUUUUGCGACCAUGUGCUAGUUUUUAUGGUGCGAGGUAUAUUUAAAAAAUAUAAACAGCACUUGGCCUACUAUUUUUGCAGUGGAAGCACGAAAACGUUAGUAUUAAAAGAGCAAAUUGAAAAAUUAAUAAUUAAACUCCAAGAGACUGGCUUAAAAGUCGUGGCCACAGUGUGUGACCAAGGCACUUCAAAUGUGGCAGCCAUCAAUGCCCUAAUUAAACAAACUAAAGAAAGUUAUUUGAGAAAAAAUGAAAUUAAUUUAGAGGGGACAUUUGAAAUUGGAAAUGCUCAAAUUUUUCCCAUAUAUGACCCACCACACUUAAUCAAGGGUAUUAGGAACAAUUUAAUAACAAAAAACCUAAAAUACUCUUUGCAUGGGAAAGAACGCACUGCGAAAUGGAGCCAUAUUGUGGCAUUAUAUAAUAAGUCACCUGCAUAUCAAGGCGUAAAAUUAGUACCAAAAUUAACGGCUCAACAUGUUAUGCCCGACUUGAUACCUAAAAUGCGGGUGAAGAAUUGCACUCAGGUCUUCAGUAAAUCUGUUGGAGCAGCACUUGGAUUUAUGGCAGAACUUGGAGCUAUUGAAAAAGAAGCGACGGAUACUGCUGACCUUUUGAUGCUUUUCGACGACAUUUUUGACAGCGUGAAUGGGAGUUACAGCAAUAUAAAAGGCGGCAAAAUUUAUAGAGCAGCUGUAACUCCCACAUCACCACACCACAAGUUGUGGAACGAAAGUUUAAAAGUUUUGAAAAGUAUGAAAUUCGAAAAUGCUCAAAAUAAAGGUGUAGUGCCUUCUCUAUCCAGCUGGAUAAAAACGAUAGAGAACUUUAAAAACUUAGCAAAAUUUCUGCAAACAAAAGGAAUAACGUCUCUAUUGCUGCGAAACAUAAACCAAGAUCCAUUAGAGAAUUUCUUUGGCUCAGUACGUGCACAUGGUUGCAGUAAUAUUAUGCCAACGGCCUCUGCAUUUGAGAGUGCCUUCAAAACUUUGUUAAUCAAUAAUAUUUCGUCUCCACACUCAGUUGGCGCAAAUUGUGAAAAAGAUGACAGUUUUUGUCUCACCACGUUAAAAAAAUAUUUGUCAAUUGAAAAAAAAGACAAUGGCCCAACUGACUGUGAAAACGAAAUUGACAGUGCCCACAUAUGUAUGACACUCUUAAAUACAGAGGAUUUAUUAAAAAGCACACUGCCAAUACACAUGGUAAAGAGCGCAGCAAUAGGAUAUUGCAGUGGUUGGAUAGCACAACAAGCAAAGAAAAAUAUUUUUAAAAAUUGUAAAAUUUGC